GAUGAACGCUGGCGGCAUGCUUAACGCAUGCAAGUCGAACGGGAAGUGGUGUUUCCAGUGGCGACCGGGUGAGUAACGCGUAAGAACCUGCCCUUGGGAGGGGAACAACAACUGGAAACGGUUGCUAAUACCCCGUAGGCUGAGGAGCAAAAGGAGAAAUCCGCCCAAGGAGGGGCUCGCGUCUGAUUAGCUAGUUGGUGAGGUAAUAGCUUACCAAGGCGAUGAUCAGUAGCUGGUCCGAGAGGAUGAUCAGCCACACUGGGACUGAGACACGGCCCAGACUCCUACGGGAGGCAGCAGUGGGGAAUUUUCCGCAAUGGGCGAAAGCCUGACGGAGCAAUGCCGCGUGGAGGUGGAAGGCCUACGGGUCGUCAACUUCUUUUCUCGGAGAAGAAACAAUGACGGUAUCUGAGGAAUAAGCAUCGGCUAACUCUGUG
rnacentral:rRNA from 1 species